rnacentral:misc_RNA from 1 species
UUAAGCUUCUUGACAAAGUAGCUUGCUCCGGAAGGCAUGGUGGCUUUGUAGUAAGUGGAAAACCUAGUCUUUAGCACAAUAUUCCAUGGAUCAGCAACUGCUUCCAUGGCUUUGGUUUGGAGAAGUCAAUAUUCGAUCUGUGAAUUGCAUUUGCAGUCAACAGAUUGCCUUGGAUGACCAGAGAGAGUGGAAGAUCUUCCCCUGAUUGUGACUGUUGAUCAUUAACCCUGUGAAAUCUUCUGGAGAACGAUACAGCAACAACUAAGAUCACCCCACCAACUAGAGCAGCAGCUCCAAUAGCAAGAAUAACUACCAAAACAGGUGGUUUCCUCUUCUUCAUGAAUUCUGGGGAAUUGUUUGUUUUUGUAACAUUAGUAAGACCCACAUUUCCACUUGUAUUAACAGAAACCCAUGGCUUGAAGUCCGGGAUGAUUCCAGUGAGCUGGUUGUUUGAGAGUAUCAACUGUGUUAGGGAUCCCAACUGAGUAAGAAAACUCGGAAUCUCACCUGAGAAUUUAUUGUUUGAGAGAUCCAGAAUUUCCAAAUCACCCAGUCGUGAAAGCGUGUUUGGAAUACGCCCUUGAAAGAGGUUGCUGCUGAGAUUCAAAGCAAUCUGCAACUUCACUGGCAUUGUUGGAAUCCUCCCACCCAGUUGAUUUUGUCCA